GACGAACGCUGGCGGCGUGCUUAACACAUGCAAGUCGAACGGAAAGGCCCUGCUUUCGUGGGGUGCUCGAGUGGGGAACGGGUGAGUAACACGUGAGUAACCUGCCCUUGUCUUUGGGAUAACUUAAGGAAACUGGGGCUAAUACCGGAUAGGAGCUCCUGCUGCAUGGUGGGGGUUGGAAAGUUUCGGCGGUUGGGGAUGGACGCGCGGCUUAUCAGCUUGUUGGUGGGGUAGUGGCUUGCCAAGGCUUUGACGGGUAGCCGGCUUGAGAGGGUGACCGGCCACAUGGGGACUGAGAUACGGCCCAGACUGCUACGGGAGGCAGCGGUGGGGAAUAUUGCACAAUGGGCGGACGCCUGAGGCAACAACGCCGCGUGCGGGAUGACGGCCUUCGGGUUGUAAACCGCUUUCGCCUGUGACGAAGCGUGAGUGACGGUAAUGGGUAAAGAAGCACCGGCUAACUACGUG
rnacentral:rRNA from 1 species